GUCUAUGGCGAUGCCACCCUGACUGUGCCCAAUCUCAUCUGAUCUCAGAAGCUAAGCAGGGUCGGGCCUGGUUAGUACUUGGAUGGAGACCACCUAGGAAUACCAGGUGGGGUAGGCA
rnacentral:rRNA from 1 species